AGAGUUUGAUCCUGGCUCAGGAUGAACGCUGGCGGCGUGCUUAAUACAUGCAAGUCGAACGGAGACAAUAGCAAUAUUGUCUUAGUGGCGAACGGGUGAGUAACGCGUUGGUGACCUGCCCCGAAGUGUGGGAUAACAGUCCGAAAGGGCCACUAAUACCACAUGUGAUCCCGAGGAACAGAUACUUGGGAUGAAAGGAGCGAUUCGCUUCGGGAGGGGCCUGCGUCCCAUCAGCUAGUUGGUAAGGUAACGGCUUACCAAGGCGAUGACGGGUAGGGGACCUGAGAGGGUGGCCCCCCACAAUGGAACUGAAACACGGUCCAUACACCUACGGGUGGCAGCAGUAGGGAAUAUUGGUUAAUGUGCGAAAGCGCGAACCAGCAACGCCGCGUGUGCGAUGAAGGCCUUCGGGUCGUAAAGCACUUUUUGCAGGGAAGAGGAAGGACGGUACCUGCAGAAUAAGUCUCGGCUAACUACGUGCCAGCAGCCGCGGUAAAACGUAGGAGACGAGCGUUAUCCGGAUUUACUGGGCGUAAAGCGCGUGCAGGCGGCAUGGCAAGUUGGAUGUGAAAGCUCCCGGCUUAACUGGGAGAGGUCGUUCAAUACUGCCAGGCUUGAGAGUGGUAGAGGGAAGCGGAAUUCCGGGUGUAGUGGUGAAAUGCGUAGAUAUCCGGAGGAACACCAGUGGCGAAAGCGGCUUCCUGGCCCAUUUCUGACGCUCAGACGCGAAAGCUAGGGUAGCAAACGGGAUUAGAGACCCCGGUAGUCCUAGCCGUAAACGAUGUGAACUUGGCGUUGGCGGGUUUAAAUCCGUCAGUGCCGUAGCUAACGCGAUAAGUUCACCGCCUGGGGACUACGGCCGCAAGGUUAAAACUCAAAGGAAAUUGACG
rnacentral:rRNA from 1 species